UACGUAGGGCGCAAGCGUUUAUCCGGAAUUAUUGGGCGUAAAGAGCUCGUAGGCGGUUUGUCGCGUCUGCCGUGAAAGUCCGGGGCUCAACUCCGGAUCUGCGGUGGGUACGGGCAGACUAGAGUGCGGUAGGGGAGAUUGGAAUUCCUGGUGUAGCGGUGGAAUGCGCAGAUAUCAGGAGGAACACCGAUGGCGAAGGCAGAUCUCUGGGCCGGUAACUGACGCUGAGGAGCGAAAGCAUGGGGAGCGAACAGG
rnacentral:rRNA from 1 species